rnacentral:rRNA from 1 species
CCUACGGGUGGCAGCAGUAGGGAAUAUUGCUCAAUGGGCGAAACCCUGAACCAGCCACGCCGCGUGGAGGAUGAAGGUUUUAGGAUUGUUAACUCCUUUUUUUAGAGAAGAAGAUGACGGUACCUAACGAAUAAGCACCGGCUAACGCCGUGCCAGCAGCCGCGGUAAUACGGAGGGUGCAAGCGUUACUCGGAAUCACUGGGCGUAAAGGGUGCGUAGGCGGGGUAAGAAGUCAGAUGUGAAAUCCGGUAGCUUAACUACAGAACUGCAUUUGAAACUGUUACUCUGGAGUGUGGGAGAGGUAGGUGGAAUUCUUGGUGUAGGGGUGAAAUCCGUAGAUAUCACGAAGAAUUCUGAUUGCGAAGGCGGCCUGCUGGAACCUUACUGACGCUGAUGCACGAAAGCGUGGGGAGCAAACAGGAUUAGAUACCCUAGUAGUC